CACCGGCGUCCCGAGUGGGAAUCACUUAUUAGGUCUAAAGCGCUCGUAGUUGGCUUUGUAAAUUUCUUGUGAAAUCGUGUCGCUUAACGGCACGGCGUGCAGGAAACACUGCAAAGCUUGGGACUGGGAGGCGUCAGAAGUAUUCCUUAGGGAGCGGUAAAAUGUGAUAAUCUAAGGAGGACUACCUGUGGCGAAGGCGUCUGACGAGAACAGGUUCGACAAUCAGGAGCGAAGGCUAGGGGAGCAAACCGG
rnacentral:rRNA from 1 species